UACGUAGGUGGCAAGCGUUGUCCGGAUUUACUGGGCGUAAAGAGCGCGCAGGCGGUCGUUCAAGUCGAGUGUGAAAGCCCCCGGCUCAACUGGGGAGGGUCAUUCGAUACUGAUCGACUGGAAGGCAGGAGAGGGAAGCGGAAUUCCCGGUGUAGUGGUGAAAUGCGUAGAUAUUGGGAGGAACAUCAGUAGCGAAGGCGACUUUCUGGGUCACACCUGACACUGAGGUACGAAAGCGUGGGGAGCAAACAGG
rnacentral:rRNA from 1 species